rnacentral:rRNA from 1 species
UAAGGCGGCCAGAGCGGCAGGGCAACUCCCGUACCCAUCCCGAACACGGAAGAUAAGCCUGCCCGCGUUACGGCAAGUACUGGAGUGGGAGACCCUCUGGGAACACCGGAUCGCCGCCUG